AUAUUGCAGUAAAUCCAGAUCCUGGGCGACAUGAAAACCGUGUUUACAAUUUCCAUCACCACAGAAUUGGUAUCUAUCUUUAUAAUCUGAUUAACAGUCUUUUUAACUUCUUACAUUUGUUACUCUGGUUUCCUGACCUCUAUACAUCUAUGUUCUUUUUCUUGGUUUCUAAUUGAAGCAAGAUACUGGAGCUACAUGGAAUGCAAAAUGAAUUCAGAGGCAUUAUUCCUGUGAUUUUGUUUAUUUUGAUCCAAGGGAAGGCCCUAACCGAUGCUACUUCAGUGACUAUUAUGUCACCAAGCUUUCUGAAGGUUUUCUCUUGUGGCUUGUCCAUUUCUCACCUCCAAGAGUCUUGACAUGAUGGUUUAAUGGCUAGCUGGCAGUUCUACACUGGUGCAUUAUGUGCGAGAUAAGCAAAUUCUUCAUCAAGGUUUUCACUUUUUUCUGAGAGCAGCACAAGAUGCUUCUUAGCUGCUGCUGCUGCCAAGGAACACGAGAUUAACUGGGACUUUGAUGUUAUCCCUCUGAAUGGUGAUUGAGCCUCUCACUGGAAUGAUCUAACUGGAAGACCGAAUGACUGGUCCAGUACUCAAUCCAGGUUCUCGCAUGGCAUUAACUCAAAUUGUGAUUUUGUUUACUCUCUUCUAGACUUUACAUGCGCAGGAGCCUCUUGCACUGAGGUCAUCCUUUUAAACUUCUAAUCUCCUUGAGCAGCAAGUCUUGGAAAUGAUACUGCUUCAUACACUUUACAGCUUUGUGAUCACUAGAUCAGCUCACAGUAGUAAACAUGCAACCAGCAGGGGACAAAUACAAUAUCAGGUUACUGAGUGUAAGAUAUCUACAAUGAACAGGAGUUCUCAGGUCAGAAGAGGGAAUGAAAUGAAUCGAGUUAGAAACCAUCUGCCCUUUUACAGUGCCCCGAGCAAGUAGUAGUCCUAUGGUUUUCUAUUUGUGUUUACUGGUGCCCAGAGAUCAGCGCCAUUGCUUCGGGCAAUCUGGAAUGUGGAGGACAGCGGCACAAGACACAGGCCACGGCUUCUGAGGCUGUAAUGAUCAUCCCCCUGGAUCACAUUACAAAGAGAAAGAGAUGGUUAUCAGCGAAAGGGGUCUUCGACCCACCUUGAAUCUCUCUACAUGGUUCAUCGAUGAGUAACUGAGAAUUCGAUUGAAGAGAGAGCUGACCUCCAUCUUCCCUGUCACUGCCUUCCUGAGAUAUGGAGCACAGAGCACCUGCGAUGCACACGGUUUGAUGACAUGAGACAGAGAGCUAAGAAUACCGAUGGGACUGUAGAUUGUCAGCAGAUUAAGAGAGGGAGGGGAAACCUGGAGUUGUUCAUGGAGGAAUUUAAUGUAUGCAGUGGCCUCCGAAAGAACAGAUGCUGUGUCUGACUGCAUUCACAGAAAGCAAUAACAAAAUUUGAGGUGGGAACAAAAGUAUUGCUGUGCAGCCAUCAGAACUGGGUUGAUGUCUGCCAACCUUCCCAAAAGGCGAGACCAGUUGUUGCAGCUUUGCCACUCUCUCUCCCAUCCUGUCCUUCUCCUGAUCACCCGUCUUAAACACCAUCAUCAUUCCGAACACCCUAUCGUUGCAAGUUUAUGUCAGCAUCACAGGAAGAGAAGAGAACACAGACCUUGGUGGACGUAGCAGCUCCUCUUCCACCAUCGCUAGUUUUGGGCCUCUUUCCGCCACUGCUGUCAUUGUGACUUCUCGAAGAACCGCUCAUGUCGCGAAGAACGAAGCCAUCAUGGCUUGCUCGUUUGUGAUCUGCCACUUCUGUCAUCAUCAUCUUCUUCUUCUUCUUCUUGCUGCUGCUACACUGUCACGGACAUCUCGUGUUAAGUGCGUGGAUUAAGAGCUCCUGUCCCGGAAGAU